rnacentral:rRNA from 1 species
AUUGAACGCUGGCGGCAGGCUUAACACAUGCAAGUCGAACGGUAACAUAAAGAAGCUUGCUUCUUUGAUGACGAGUGGCGGACGGGUGAGUAAUGCUUGGGAAUCUAGCUUAUGGAGGGGGAUAACUACGGGAAACUGUAGCUAAUACCGCGUAGAAUCGGGAGAUGAAAGUGUGGGACCUUCGGGCCACAUGCCAUAGGAUGAGCCCAAGUGGGAUUAGGUAGUUGGUGAGGUAAAGGCUCACCAAGCCGACGAUCUCUAGCUGGUCUGAGAGGAUGACCAGCCACACUGGGACUGAGACACGGCCCAGACUCCUACGGGAGGCAGCAGUGGGGAAUAUUGCGCAAUGGGGGCAACCCUGACGCAGCCAUGCCGCGUGAAUGAAGAAGGCCUUCGGGUUGUAAAGUUCUUUCGGUAGCGAGGAAGGCAUUUAGUUUAAUAAACUGGAUGAUUGACGUUAACUACAGAAGAAGCACCGGCUAACUCCGUGCCAGCAGCCGCGGUAAUACGGAGGGUGCGAGCGUUAAUCGGAAUAACUGGGCGUAAAGGGCACGCAGGCGGUGACUUAAGUGAGGUGUGAAAGCCCCGGGCUUAACCUAGGAAUUGCAUUUCAUACUGGGUCGCUAGAGUACUUUAGGGAGGGGUAGAAUUCCACGUGUAGCGGUGAAAUGCGUAGAGAUGUGGAGGAAUACCGAAGGCGAAGGCAGCCCCUUGGGAAUGUACUGACGCUCAUGUGCGAAAGCGUGGGGAGCAAACAGG